rnacentral:pre_miRNA from 1 species
UUAACUCAUAUUUGUAUGGAGUUGGAACGUUUGCCUACGUUUGCCGCUAGGGGCGCUGUUCCAACUUCAUACAAAUUUGAGUUG